rnacentral:rRNA from 1 species
AUGGCUGGCUUGGAAGGUUUCGAUUUCUUCGAGAUCGUAAUUGAGAAAUCUUGCAGUAGGCAGAGGCUGCCUGACAAAUUUGCGAAGAUGCUCGCCGGUCGUGAGCCCCACAAAGUGAAGCUACGGGAGGCCGGCAGUGGGCUUCACAGGCUGUGCUGGUGGGAAGUGUUGGUGGUGUUUGAUGGUGAAGGCCACAUGUACCUAGGGCCCGGCUGGGAGCAUUUCGCCCGCGCCCAUGAGCUACAGCUCGGGUACUUCCUUGUCUUCCGCUAUGAUGGCGACGCCAUGUUCACCGUGAAGAUGUUCGACAACACCAUGUGCCGCAUGUACUACCAGCACGACGACGAUGCCAGCAAUGGGAGCAGAGCGGGGAUGAAGACGAGGAGCGGAGUGGGGAUGACGAGGAGCAGCCUAUUCUGGCUGAUGACGAACAUGCUAUGGUGGUGGCUGACGACGACCCUGCUAUGUUGGUGGCGGAUGACGACCUUGCUAUGGUGGUGGCGGACGACGACCUUGCUAUGGUGGUGGCAAACGACGACCACGCGAUGGUGGUGGCGGACGACGACCUCGCGAUGGUGGCGGCGCCUGCAAUCCCACAGCUUGGCGACAGGAACAUGCCAAUUGUGGUAG